GUAAAUUCGAGGUGCUGUCAGCUCUUAUUUUCUAUUUAAUGGAAUAAAAAUAUUCUAUAAAUCUACAUCACCAGUAAUAAGAGACAAACAGAAUUUUCCCCUAGACUUUGACACAUUGUUAAACCCUUUUCACUGGGGUGGUAAAAAAGGCAGAUUUCUUAGCUGUGCAUAGAACCUAAGGCUAGCAAAGCAUUAUGGGACUUGUGGUUCUAUACAAAUCUGGAUGUCUACAUUUUGAACACUCCUGACUUCAAGACAGUGCCAUAAAUUUUACACCCACUUCAACUGCUG